rnacentral:ncRNA from 1 species
ACUUCGGGGCAGGGCGAGAUUCCCGACCGGCGGUAUAGUCCGCGAGCGCAGGGCGCACGAUUCGGUGAAAUUCCGAAACCGACAGUAUAGUCUGGAUGAGAGAAG